AAGAACAGCACAGAGAGAGAGAGAGAGAGAGAGAGAGAGAGAGAGAGAGAGAGAGAGAGAGAUCGAGCGCUCGCUAGGGUUCCUCGCGUCUGCACUACUCGAUCGCGAUGGCGGCGGCGGCGGCUGCAGCUUCCGGGGCACAGGCGAGGGCGAGGCUGGCAGCGGCGGCAGCUUCCGGGGCGAAGGCGAGGCUGGCGGCUGGCGGCGAGGCUCGCGCCGCGGCGGCUCCUCUCCUCCGGCGGCGACGCGGUCGGCCGGGAGGGCAGGGUUUCUGAGACGUUGAACGAAGAGCUCCAAGCGCUGAAGGACGAACAGCGUUUCAUAAGGCAUGAAUUCGAGGCGCUGCAGAAGUUUACGAAAUCAGAGCUGGACUUGAAAGUGGCAAAGAUGGAAACCGUCGUGGCCACAAUGAGGGGUCUUCACGAAAAUUCUCAGAAGGAGUGCUUGAAAAAUAGUGUCUUGCUGUUGGGAGUCACCGCCGCAGUCUUCGGGGUUUUGCAGCAGCAGGCUGAGCGUCCAGGUGUGGAGAUUCCAACCACCGGCAAAAGCGAGGCUUAGGAGCGCAACUACGCGAGGAAGGAGGGUGGUUGUCAGUAGUACUCGUGAUUAUAAGAGAGUCGAAACAUUUUAUCAGCACUGGUAAUGAUACGCAUAGGGCGAUAUGGAUUACUACUGAUGAGCUAUGAUGAUACGUUUGCAACCUAAAA